UCCCGCAGCCCUGAGACCGCGCAGCAGAGUUGCACUGCCCAGGUCCAUCUAGGGUUGUGCGGAGCGGGGUGGGUGGAGUUGGACAUCACAGUAGCAGCAGCAUCCCUGCGGUCUGGGACCCCUCGGUAGGGGAGCAGAGGACCCGCCCUGAUCUAGCCUGGCCCAGCCUAGUCUAGCCUGGUCCAAGAGCCCCGCCCAGGAGUGGGUUCUAAGGCAAGAAUACUGAGGCCCUUCUACAGUGUCAGCACCCAAGGAUCUGGACCGGGCUGUGGGUCAGAGCGUGGCCCUACUCCCUGUCCCCAGACCCGGGCGGCCGUCAUGGACAAGAUCCUGGAGGCCGUGGUGACUUCGUCCUACCCUGCGAGUGUGAAGCAAGGGCUGGUGCGGCGGGUGCUGGAGGCUGCGCGGCAGCCCCUGGAGCGGGAGCAGUGCCUGGCGCUGCUGGCCCUGGGCGCCCGCCUCUACGUGGGUGGCACGGACGAGCUGCCGCGCCGCGUGGGCUGCCAGCUGCUGCACGUGGCGGGUCGCCACCACCCCGACGUCUUCGCCGAGUUCUUCAGCGCCCGCCGCGUGCUGCGCCUGCUGCAGGGCGGUGCGGGGCCCCCGGGGGUGCGCGCGCUGGCCUGCGUGCAGCUAGGGCUGCAGCUGCUGCCCGACGGGCCGGCGGCCGACGAGGUGUUCGCGUUGCUGCGGCGCGAGGUGCUGCGCACAGUGUGCGAGCGCCCGGGCCCCGCCGCCUGCGCGCAGGUCGCCCGGCUGCUGGCGCGCCACCCGCGCUGCGUACCCGACGGAGCGCACCGCCUGCUCUUCUGCCAGCAGCUGGUGCGCUGCCUCGGCCGCUUCCGCUGCCCAGCCGAGGGCGAGGAGGGCGCGGUGGAGUUCCUGGAGCAGGCCCAGCAGGUGAGCGGGCUCCUGGCGCAGCUGUGGCGCGCGCAGCCCGCUGCCAUCCUGCCCUGCCUCAAGGAGCUGUUCGCAGUCAUCUCCUGCACAGAGGAGGAGCCACCGUCCAGCGCCUUGGCCAGUGUGGUCCAGCACCUCCCAUUGGAGCUCAUGGAUGGUGUGGUCCGGAACCUGAGCAAUGAUGACAGUGUGACAGACUCUCAGAUGCUCACUGCCAUUAGCAGGAUGAUCGACUGGGUGUCCUGGCCCCUGGGGAAGAACAUUGACAAGUGGAUCAUUGCCCUGCUGAAGGGCCUGGCUGCCGUUAAGAAGUUCAGCAUCUUGAUCGAGGUUUCGCUCGCCAAAAUUGAGAAGGUUUUCUCUAAGCUGCUGUACCCCAUCGUUCGGGGAGCUGCCCUGUGUGUCCUCAAGUACAUGCUCCUGACUUUCCAGCACUCCCAUGAGGCCUUCCACCUGCUUCUCCCUCACAUUCCCCCCAUGGUGGCCUCUCUGGUCAAGGAGGACUCGAACUCUGGAACCAGCUGCCUGGAGCAGCUGGCAGAGCUGGUGCACUGCAUGGUGUUUCGGUUCCCAGGCUUCCCAGACCUGUAUGAACCUGUCAUGGAAGCCAUCAAGGACCUCCACAUUCCCAAUGAGGACCGAAUCAAGCAGCUGCUGGGGCAGGAUGCCUGGACCUCACAGAAGAGUGAACUGGCUGGCUUCUAUCCCCGGCUCAUGGCCAAGUCAGACACGGGCAAGAUUGGCUUAAUCAACUUGGGCAACACAUGCUACGUGAACAGUGUCCUUCAGGCCUUGUUCAUGGCUUCUGACUUUCGACACUGUGUGCUCCGCUUGACUGAGAACAACUCCCAGCCCUUGAUGACCAAGCUGCAGUGGCUCUUUGCCUUCCUGGAGCACAGUCAGAGGCCUGCCAUCUCUCCUGAGAACUUCCUCUCUGCAUCCUGGACACCUUGGUUCAGCCCUGGCACCCAGCAGGACUGUUCAGAGUAUCUGAAGUACCUGCUGGAUCGGCUUCAUGAAGAAGAGAAAACGGGGACGAGGAUCUGCCAGAAACUCAAGCAGUCAAGCCUGCCAUCCCCACAGGAAGAGCUUCCCAGCCCCAAUGCAACGUCUGUGGAGAAAAUGUUUGGAGGCAAGAUUGUGACCCGGAUAUGCUGUCUCCACUGUCUCAAUGUUUCCUCAAGGGAGGAGGCCUUCACAGACCUCUCUUUGGCCUUCCCUCCUCCUGAGAGAAGUCGCCACCGCCGCCACGGCUCUGUGAUGCUCCCCACGGAGGAUGUGCGAGCUCAGGAGUUGACACUGGCUCCCAGAGCCCCAGAGGUACAGAGGCAGAGAAAGCACUGCAUCACAGGGGAUGCUCCCCGCACUGGACUGGACAUUGAAGGUGUGGACACCCUAGGCACUGGCGGACAGAGUGGGCAGGAGAAGGUGGACAGGGAGCAGGCUGGGAAAGAGAAGGAGGUGGCAGAGGACAGGGAAGAGGAAGGAACAAGGGAAGAGGAGAAAGAAGAGGGGGAAGAGAAAGACAAAGAGAAAGAGAAGAAGGAAGAUGAAAAGGAAAAGGAAAAGGAAAAGGAAGCUGAGGACAGCAAGGAGAAGGAAGGGGACAGCUUAGGAUCAGGGACCCGCAGGGAUGCUGCCACCCCACCCAGGGAGCAGGCAUGUGGUCCUGAGGGUUCCCGCUCUGUACUGGACUUGGUCAACUACUUCCUGUCCCCUGAGAGGCUGACGGCUGAGAACCGCUACUACUGUGAGUCCUGUGCCUCCCUGCAGGAUGCGGAGAAGGUGGUGGAGCUGAGCCAGGGUCCACGCUACCUCAUCCUCACACUACUGCGCUUCUCCUUUGACCUGCGUACCAUGAGGCGGCGCAAGAUCCUGGAUGAUGUCACCAUCCCCCUUUUGUUGCGCCUGCCGCUGGCUGGGGGUCAGGGCCAGGCUUAUGACCUCUGUAGUGUGGUGGUACACUCUGGAGUGUCCUCAGAGAGUGGCCACUAUUACUGCUAUGCUCGUGAGGGUGCUGCUCGGCCAGCUCCUGCCCUGGGAUCCACAGAGAGGCCGGAGCCUGAGAACCAGUGGUACCUUUUUAAUGAUACCCGGGUGUCUUUCUCAUCCUUUGAGUCUGUCAGCAAUGUCACCUCCUUUUUCCCUAAGGACACUGCCUAUGUGCUCUUCUACCGCCAGAGGCCCAGAGAGGGCCCUGAGGCUGAGCCUGGCUCUCCUAGAGUCCGAGCAGAGCCUACCCUCCACAAGGACCUGAUGGAGGCCAUUUCUAAAGAUAAUGUCCUCUAUCUGCAGGCCAUCCAGCCGAGAUAUGGCUUGGUGAAGUCUGAGAGAGGCUGAUCAGGGAAGAACUUGCUCAUGGGCAGAAGAUGGACCUCAUGCUUCAAGAGAGGCAGAGCAGGAGAAGGAGGCCCGGAGCAGGGCAGCUUAUAUCUCUACACUCCCUGCCCCUCCACACUGGGGUAGGGGCUUUGAUGAAGACAAAGAUGAGGACGAAGGCUCACCAGGGGGCUGCAACCCUGCAGGUGGCAAUGGUGACUUCCACAGACUGGUCUUCUAAUGGGAACUCCCACUUGUGGGGCUAUCACAGCUAACCUCAGAGUGGGCCAUGUGGGGCUCAGGGCCCAGGUAGAACACUCUACCAUCUGGGGUCUUAGGGAGCUGUGGAGGCAAGCCUAAGGUGAAGCUGGUCUUUCUGAGGGCAAGGAGGAUGAAGAGGGACCAUUUACGAUGUCAGUCUGUAGCUUGAAGUGCACAGAGAAACUGAAACCCAAAGCUCCUUAGGCAUUCAUCCUAUUAUGAUGUUAUAGUCAAGUGUCCCGAGUACCUGGGAGCACCCUGAAUGUGUCUGCUCCGGACUCUGCCUCCAUGCAGGUCCAGUCCUGGAAAGGCUGGCCAGCUCAGGAGCCAGGGUGGUGUCCGUUUGGUAUCCUGUGUCCAGUAGCACUUCUAAUUCCUUCACCCAGCUCUUCCUCAAUAGGAGAAAAAGCACAGCUGAAGUCACACCCUUGGAACAAGAAGGGGACUGUGUCCCCAAUGCCCACCCUCUUGUUUUUUAAGGGGGUUCUUAAAACAAGGUAUGUGGGUAUCUGCACCUGCUGUGUUUUUGAUGCAUGUGAAUGGAAGGCAGCAUAGCAAAGGAUCAGAGACAAGAAUCUUAGCACAUGCCCCUCCCUACCCCAAGCAAGCGACACUGUGGGAGAGCCCCUGCCCUCCCUAGCCUGCCUCAGUGCCUGAGAUGCUGCCAUUGCAUCCCUGUCUAGUUAAGGUUCAGAGUCCUUAUUUUACUGAAGACAUUAAUCUGUCAGAAAGCCAUUGUCAUCUGAGGAAGCUAGCUGGCUUGGCUCCUCUGAUGAAUGUGAGGGCUAGGUAUGUAUGAACUGUGUGAUGCACCCAACCUCAUAGUGCCCCGAGACUACUAUAGCCCCUUCUCAGUGAAGAGAAGAAACCUGUGUUCUUAAAUAGGAAUAAAACUUGCUUCUCUGAA